rnacentral:rRNA from 1 species
GAUGAACGCUGGCGGCGUGCUUAACACAUGCAAGUCGAACGGAGAUGCCUUUAACGGAGAUUUCGGUCAAAGUUGUUGGUAUCUUAGUGGCGGACGGGUGAGUAACGCGUGGGUAACCUGCCUUAUACUGGGGGAUAACAGUCAGAAAUGACUGCUAAUACCGCAUAAGCGCACAGUGCCGCAUGGCACAGUGUGAAAAAUUCCGGUGGUAUAAGAUGGACCCGCGUUGGAUUAGCUUGUUGGUGAGGUAACGGCUCACCAAGGCGACGAUCCAUAGCCGGCCUGAGAGGGUGAACGGGCCACAUUGGGACUGAGACACGGGCCCAGACUCCUACGGGAGGCAGCAGUGGGGAAUAUUGCACAAUGGGGGAAACCCUGAUGCAGCGACGCCGCGUGAAGGAUGAAGUAUUUCGGGUAUGUAAACUUC